AGCUGCGAUAAAUAGUGCGAAUUGCAGACGCAUUGAGCACAAAGAUUUCGAAUGCACAUUGCAUCAUUGGGUUGAUUCCCGAUGGUACGUCUGGUUGAGGGUCAAU
rnacentral:rRNA from 1 species